ACUGUUAGUAGACACACAGAGAUUCUCAAAAUGCUGCGACUGUUUCUGAUCCUAGCUUUGUGCUUAACUGCUGUGAUGUCUCAAAUGUUCGGAAGAAGAUGGGGCAAUAACGACUGGUGGAACAAUAACGGAUGGAACAACAAUGGAUGGUGGGGAAACAAUGAUUGGUGGAACAAUAAUAACGGAUGGUGGGGAAACAAUGACUGGUGGAACAACAAUAACGGAUGGGGAUGGAACAAUUAACUGGUGAAAGCCUAAAUUGAAGCAGCUAUCGUGGAAAAGAACUAGUUGUGAAAAAAGACCUUGCUAGAACAGUCAUAUCAAGGGGUCUAAUGAGUGGACUAUAAUUAUCGGUAUUCUAUUAAAGUGGAACAGUGGUGUUUUUUUUUUCCGGAAAUAAAAUAUUAAAAAUGCCUAA